UACGGAGGGUGCGAGCGUUGUCCGGAAUCAUUGGGCGUAAAGCGCACGUAGGCGGCUUCUUAAGUCAGGGGUGAAAUCCUGGAGCUCAACUCCAGAACUGCCUUUGAUACUGAGGAGCUUGAGUCCGGGAGAGGUGAGUGGAACUGCGAGUGUAGAGGUGAAAUUCGUAGAUAUUCGCAAGAACACCAGUGGCGAAGGCGGCUCACUGGCCCGGUACUGACGCUGAGGUGCGAAAGCGUGGGGAGCAAACAGGG
rnacentral:rRNA from 1 species